AUGCUCUGGUUUCUCUUCAGAACAAAUAAAUCUUUGGCCUUUUACUAAAGAUUUCCAUGGAGAGGAACAAUUCUUAAUUAAUAACCAAAUUUUUGAUGUCCUGCUUAGGCAAGGCCA
rnacentral:snRNA from 10 species